AAGGGCAGAAAAUGUUUUUCCCUCAGAAGAGCAACGAAAAGAAAACGCCAAGGAGAUUUCACCCCUCUUACUACAGUUUCUUCUCUGGUUGGCGAGAGUCACAGCUGUGACCUGAUUUUGUUUAUUUGAAAGGAAAGACAAUUGUUCAUUUACUCAACAAACAUUUACUAAAACAGAGCUGCUGGGCUCCUGUUGGGUGUUGGGGAUAUUAAGUCAGCCCCAGCUCUGGAGGAGCCAUGAGUUGACGGGAUAAAUGGGAAAAUCAUGGUCCAGACAUCCAUGCAUUGAAGGCAGUUGGUUUAAACAGGCUGCUACAUAGUCAGCCAGGUGAAUGAGAGAAGGAUGGAAAGCCUUCUAGGCAGAGAGCAGAGAAUGUGUAGGCAGCACCGAGUCCCCCUAAAACUGAGCUCCCCUGCCGAGUUCAUGAUUAACCUUUCUGUCCAAAACUUCAUUCCCUCUGACCUCAGUCCUGUGCUAACUGAACACUAAUCAGCCAGAUUGCUGUUGUUGAUAACAUUGUUAACCUGCCAGCUCAGGUUGUUUCUCCAGGGCAAGAUGAGCUAACAGACCCCAAGCCGUGGGCCACCUGGCCAGAGGAUCAUAAACCAGAGACAUCCUGACUCCUGAAGAAGUAUGGACCUGUCCCCCCGCAUGGAGAAGAGCAGGAGAUGUGCUGGGGAGAGAGGAGGGCAGCAGGUGGCUUGGUGAGCCGGACGACAUAAGAUCUGGUCCCGUUUGCAUUUGCUUCUUUAUCAUCCUGCCUUGUAGAACAAGAGAAUAGAUGACUGGCAUCCACCUCACACGAGAAGGCAGGGCAGGCCCGCCCCCAGCAGUAUCAGGGCCCGAGAUAAGAGUACAAAUGGAGACCACUUGCCCCUGUUUGGAAGGGCUGAAGAAGGAGCCUAGGGCUUUAGAAAUGGUACAUCCUGCCGCCCAAGUUUGCCUUGGUUGUGAUUUAGCUGGGGGCUCCUGUACCACCGGGGGAUGUGACACUGUAUGUAUCGCAGACAGUGAAGGUCAGUCAUUUUCAGGGCUCUGUAAGCAAGGCAGCACUGAGGCUGUUCUCUCCUUGGAAUCUGGGCUGAUUUUGUUUCUUUCAGGAGCUGGAUGUACAGGACCAAAAGCACUGCAGGCCUCGGGUUGACGAGUGCUCUACCAGGGGCUUGCCCUGCAGGUUCCCGUCCUCACAGCCGCAGCUGCCUGGACGCUGCUGGGAGCGGGAGCUCUUGGGCAGUCAUGGCCUCCGAGUGAGAACUUUGAUUUUAAGAUGCAUCCACGUUGCUGAGUAUGCCUGCAGUGUACUGGCCACGUUUUACUCAUCCACUCCCCCGCGGGUGGACUUUCAGGCUGCCCCUCCCUCCUCCAUCACAGGCACAGGAACAGAAUUUCUGGGUCAUAGGACUGAGAUGGAGGCUGUAGUCUGGAAACCUACCAGCACAGCAAAUGCCAAACCUCCUUCUCUGUGCCUGGAAGAGACGUUCUGGAAGUCUGAAGAGCCACAACACCUCCCAUCCUCCUUGUAGUUCUAGGCUUAACUCCUAAAACUACAGGAUUUGAGGUAGGAAAGUUGGAAUUCAGGAGCAGCCAUUCUCCCCUCCUCUGCUCCGGGAUAAGACAUUCUGGGGUGCACCUGAGAGUCCCAGCAUCUCCAAAGAGUUUGCUUGCAAGUCCUGAAUGCUGAGCUGGUCCCUCCUGCACAGCUCAGGUUAGGGGGACAGCCACCUCUCACCCCAAGGCUGGGAAGUGACUGGGGCCAGACUCAGGGCAGGAGGAAGACCUGAGCAGGACCCUGCACCUGGCCCCACCCCCUGCAAGCCUGUGGGAAGCAACUUCACUAACUGUUGGACUGAAGCCACAGUCCAAGAAGCUCAGGCUUCUUGCACUGGAAAAAAUUCAGAAACACCCAGACUGACUCUGGCAUGAAGCUCUUCAAGCCCUAAAAUGGGGCCUCUGAGGGCUCUCGCUGAUUUCCACUGCUCCAUCCCUCCAGCCUUCGGGGAACACUUUUCCACCAACAUCUGAGAUUCUGAGCCAGGACCCAGGGCUCCCAGGAGACCCUCCCAUUCACCUGGACCCUUCCAAAAGCGAACAAGAGAGGCUGAGCUUCUCCUCCACACUGCCUGGUCCUGCAGUUCCAUUUCCUGCCUCUUCUCCUCCCAAGCAGGACAGCAUCCUGGUAGGCUCUCAGGAUGGCCUUCUCCAGGAGGACACAACCACAACUUCUGUGUAAAUGUGACACUACUGCACAGUAAAUAGUGAGAGGACCAUGUAGGAGAAGACUUUUCUCCACCCUCUGGACCCUCGUCCCUUGGGCAUGACUCUCAGUUAAGGACAGCCUGGGGCAAGGCCAGUGAGAUGGGUGUAGGGGAGAGUGGGGAGGUGAAGAGGAGCCCAGGGGUGUAAGUCCCCUGGGGCAGCCUAGGGUGGAGGUGGGUGGCAGACCCUUAGGAAAUAAGACUGGUCCCUGCCUGGAGAAAGGGCACUCUCAAUGAGGGUAAUACUCCUUCAUCCCACAACUACUCUCUAAGCAUCUCUCACGUAUCAGGCACUGUGUUAGUUGCAGGGUACCACUGUGAACAAGGGCAGUGCGUUCCUGCUGCCACGGAGCUGACACUGGACAGCAGAGGAGAUGAGCAAACAAUUUCUAGUCAUGGAAUUCCUGGACAAAGUAUAUCAAAUUUUUAAAUCCCUCAAGACUCCUUUGAUACUUACUGCCAAGUGACUUUCUGGGCGUGCCCUGUAGCAGAGGUGAUAAUACGGUCCCUGAGCAGUUUUGUGAAGAUGAGAGAUGGCCAACAGGAAGCUCAGUGUCCAACACACAGUGGGAGCGCGGUGACUGGUUCCUGCUGUGGUGUGACAGCUUCCUCGGCGAGGCUCAAUUGAGUCUCAGCAUCGGAGCAAGUAGUGCUCACCAGAGUUGUCCAGCAUCAGACCUAAAUCGGCGGGCCUUUAUUUUCCUUCUCCAUCGGUCACCAGAUUUGAGCUGCCCCAGGAAGGAUGUGACCUCAGACGACCUGAAGAGAGUGCUGCUGAGGACAGAGAACUGGGGAGAUGGACACCUGGCCCCCCGGACCGUGGGGUCUCAUGGUCUGACGAGUCUGCUGUCAUGCCCUCCGCACUGCUCCAGCUGCCAGUCACUCCUCGGCUUUGUCCUGCUCUUUGAAGUCCCGGGAGUGAGGCUUUUCCAGCCGAUCCUGAGAAGACAGGGCCGUCAGCGGCAGCAAGGCCAAGUCUACGUACGGCACACCGUGACCAUCGCUGUGGGUUGAAAGCCUGCUGUGCACAGAAUCGGAGCUGGAUGCCUUUCCAGUUUUCAAACACUGGGCUAGGUACAUUAGGAACAUCUUAUUUAAAUUUUAGAGCAACUCUGUUGAAUAUGUAGGCUCAUCGUCCCUGGGUUCCAGAUGAGGAAACUGAGUUGCGGUGAGGUGAGGCUGGAGCCAGGAUUCAAACCCCACCCUUCGACUCCAAGUCUAGUGCCCCACCCACCACCCACAGCUGGACGUGUCCGGAAGGCACACACUGCUUCCUCUGCCUCCAUCUGGGUCCCCUCCCCAUAUCUCAACUUAGUGAUUUUCUGGCUCAGCAAGACUGAAGUCAAGGUCUCCUGCCUCUGAAUCUCAGGUUCUCGGGUGAUAA